rnacentral:rRNA from 1 species
UACGAAGGGGGCGAGCGUUGUUCGGAAUUACUGGGCGUAAAGGGCGCGCAGGCGGCCGACCAAGUCAGGCGUGAAAGCCCCGGGCUCAACCUGGGAGGUGCGCUUGAUACUCGAGGGCUUGAGUGCGGGAGAGGAGAGUGGAAUUCCCAGUGUAGAGGUGAAAUUCGUAGAUAUUGGGAAGAACACCGGUGGCGAAGGCGGCUCUCUGGACCGUAACUGACGCUGAGGCGCGAAAGCGUGGGGAGCAAACAGG